rnacentral:tRNA from 1 species
CGGUAAUUAGCGCAGCCUGGUAGCGCAUCUGGUUUGGGACCAGAGGGUCGCAGGUUCGAACCCUGCAUUACCGACCA